CUGAACAGUUCACAUCCAGUUUUUUCAGAUCUUGCUUUGAAAAUAUUAAAAAUUUAUUAGUGCACCUCACACAAAAACAACCCAAAAUUUAUCGAAGUAUUUAUUUUUUAACAAUGCUGUUAGUACAACUAUGUUCGAGCGCUCAAUAUAUUCGAGAUGUGCCUUUGCCGCAGCCGAUUCUCUUUGAAAUUAAGAAUAACGCAACAAUAUUGGAGCUCCGGCAAAAGUUGGAGCCCAUAAUCGCUGUGCCGUUGCGCCAGAUCAAACUGCGAAAAUCUGGCCAGACAAUAAACAAUAAUAAACUGAUUUCGGAUGUCUUGGAUGCGAGGACUUCGGAAGAUUUGGGAUUAGGAGCGGAACUAUCUAUUUUGAGCGGAAAUUCAUUCUUCGCCCCCCUAAAAUUUUACGGGCAGGCAUAUAAAAACGGACAACCGCUUAACCACCAAUUCUACAUGCCUCAGCAAUAGGUGAGCAAACGCAUUCCUUGCUAUUCCAGAGCGAACAUCAGCGGGACCUCGAGGUUGGGUCAUCAGGACCCUCUUGAAAUAGCCCAGGGAUCCUGUGUAAUUCCGACUAUCGAAGGCCAAUGACCCACGUCCUAUCAAUGCCAGUAUAUUAUUUGACAAUAUUAUCCCGUCAAACAGUGCAUCUGUGUCUUGAGCUGUGCUGGGUGAUAAAAUCAGCCCGAAUUCCUUUAUUAUAACGAUCUCCAGAUCGCUUUUAGCUAGCCAAUGCUUUGGAAGUAUUGAUAACAUGGCCCUUCGAAAAUUGCCCAAUUCGUUGUAGGUCAUGUUGGCCGCCAGCAUUAUAUUAGUCCUAACCAUAUCCUACUUAUAGGACCUGUACGGCUUUUCAAAAGACUCCCCUUAAGAGCGCAUCAGAAAAACUAUGAAUGCCCCCUACAGUCUGAAGUACCCGAAAUGAAUGAUCGUUCGUUCAAAAAAACCAAGUCAAAAGAAAAUGUGUAAGUACAUCGCUGAUCACAGUACAUCGGAAAUAGGCGGAAAAACAAAUAUGAUACGCGUCAGAAAAUGGGACAUAAUCUUUUAUUAGAAUCGGAAAAGCUGUUUUUUUCGAUGAGGAAACCGAGGAAUACAGAAAAGAAUCCAUCGACCACCACCAACAGAGAUGGUCGACUUCAUGUCCGAACAGAAAAAUUAUUGUUUUAAUUCAAGAGAAAUCAAGUCAGUGGUCUGAAAUGGUGAAGAAAUGUCUUUGAAUGAGCUGAACAAGAAAAUGCACUCUAGUGACAAAUAAAUAAUAUCAAAAUAUUUU